rnacentral:tRNA from 1 species
GGUUCCACGGCGUAAUGUUGAGCACUCUGGACUCUGAAUCCCGCGAUCCGAGUUCAAAUCUCAGUGGGACCU